ACCAUCCUGUGGUGUUCGCCACGUUUCUGCUUUUACCCACAUUUUCAUAAAAGGACGCCGGGUCGGUAUGCAGAUGUCAGGCCCCCACAGUCAGGGGAAGGCAGUAAGCAGCCGCAGGCCUCCGCCCUGCCGAGCGGCGGGUGAAAAUGCAGAGCGAACGGCACUUACGGGAUUUUU
rnacentral:other from 1 species